GCCUUCGUGGUGUAGUGGUCAGCACGCUGGACGUGCAUUCGAGAUGUCCGCGGUUCGAGUCUGCACGAGGGUA
rnacentral:tRNA from 1 species